UAGACUUGAAUUUCUGAGCCUUGCACCUGUGAGAAUUAGAGCCCGCCCUUUCACUACAGCAUCCCAGGGACCAUGUUUCCUCCUGAGAUUUGAAAACAGGGGAGGACCAGCUUCUCACCACCUUGGCAAACCCUCCCAAGAGUGCUCUUGCAGGUGGAAACCUGGGAGCUGCUUUCCCCCGGUGCUGCCUCCUUUCCAGCAAGGUGCUUUCUCCCCGCGGAGCAAACGAUGCUCCGGAGCGCAGCGAUCUGGAUCGUGACUUCAAGCGCGAUCCUGACUGCGUGGCAGUGCCUGAACCGUUCCCAUCACAGGAGAAGCCACGGGGGGCUGUGACUCAGCCAUGCCUGAGUCACGCGUCCCCAUCCCGCCGUGCUCCCGGGGGACCGUGCUUCACCCCCACCUGUGCCUCUGUCGGCGAUGAACCACGGCUCAGGCCUUGGCUCUUGCCAGCUGCUAAGAGCUGGCAGCAGCGGCUGCACGUGUGAGUGCUGUGAAGAGCCUGCCCCUUGGAUCAGCCAGGUAAAGUCCUGUCCCAAACCCUGAGACGUGUGGCAUUUCUUAAAUAAAAGUAAUAAAUGUUCUCCUCUGAAGGAUUUUGAAAUAAAUUUGUAAAUACUGAAUUAAUUCAGCCUGUCAGCAUGAAAUGAGGUUUUGGAAAGCUAAAAGGUGCAGGUUUGUGCGCAUUAACUGUGUGAGCUAAAGCACAAAAGGAAAAUGCAUUUUCAUCCUUAUGAGGUUCUGUAAAUUGUAUUCUAUUCUUAGGAGAGUAAACAUAAUGUUUAAAAAAAAAAAUCUAAUAAUUUAAACCUUGCAGGAAAAGUUGCAGGAGCAAUAGGAACCUCUGAAAUGAUAAAUGUAUGAAUUUAUUCUACUGCCACUGUGGGGUUUUAAAUUAGUUUUAUUUUUCUCUUAUUUCUUCUGGUUGACAAGUUGUGUGGUGUUGCUAUCCAGUUAUAAUAUUUCUAGGUAAGAAAAUCUUGAAGGUCAAAAAUUCUGUUCUUAGUUAUUCUUGUAUAAGGUAAUGUUCUUGUGUCGGUGACAAUGCGGAAUGAUCUCAUGUCGCCAUGGGUACCUGAAUCAUGCAGAAAUCUGUCUAACAGCAGAGUUCUUCAUGAUUAUGCCCUCCCCUUAUUUUCUUGUAAACAACAAAAAAAUAGAUAUCUAUAAGAAAAGCUUCUUGUCUGACACAAAUGGACUGGAAGAAAUGCUCGUCUUAAGAAAACACAUCGUGCCAGUGGUUCAAUGGACUGCACCCAAGCAUAAUUCUGGGCAAUGAAUUAAUUUGUGCUCUGCUGCAACCAGAGAGAUUUUUGCCACUAAUGCUCCAAAGUGCAACCUGAGUUCAUCGCGUUAUUAGCGUGAGUUGUAACGGCUGUGCAUAGACAUUAAAACUGCCAAAUUUCAAACAGGCAGCUCUGUCCCCAUGGCAGCUUUGACAGAGGGGAUGUGAAGCAAUCUCAGCUGCAGAUGUAAAAGGACCAGCAGCAGGAAACUGGAAAACUGUUGAAUUCCAGAUUAUGGGGGAGAAGUGAGAGCAGCAUCUGCCCACAGCUGAUCCUAGAAGGGACACGGCAGGGAAGCACAGAAGCACAGUGAAAUUCGUGUGUGGGGGGGGGGGGAG